GAUGAACGCUGGCGGCGUGCCUAAUACAUGCAAGUCGAGCGAACAGACGAGGAGCUUGCUCCUCUGACGUUAGCGGCGGACGGGUGAGUAACACGUGGAUAACCUACCUAUAAGACUGGGAUAACUUCGGGAAACCGGAGCUAAUACCGGAUAAUAUAUUGAACCGCAUGGUUCAAUAGUGAAAGACGGUUUUGCUGUCACUUAUAGAUGGAUCCGCGCCGCAUUAGCUAGUUGGUAAGGUAACGGCUUACCAAGGCAACGAUGCGUAGCCGACCUGAGAGAGUGAUCGGCCACACGGGAACGGAGACACGGUCCAGAGUCCUACGGGAGGCAGCAGUAGGGAAUCUUCCGCAAUGGGCGAAAGCUUGACGGAGCAACGCCGCGUGAGUGAUGAAGGUCUUCGGAGCGUAAAACUCUGUUAUUAGGGAAGAACAAAUGUGUAAGUAACUAUGCACGUCUUGACGGUACCUAAUCAGAAAGCCACGGCUAACUACGUG
rnacentral:rRNA from 1 species